rnacentral:lncRNA from 1 species
ACAUGUGGUGGGAACAGAGUACAUGUGCCAUAAAAUUCAAUUUUUCUCCUAACAACUUAUACUUAGCACUUUGAUCUUUGUAGAAAAAACCUUGCUGGGUCCGAAGUUGUCCAGAUGCAUGGUGAAUGAUGGCUGAGAUAUGGUGCGAAAUGGAAUAGAAAGAAAAUUCUUGUGCCUGCAGGGAGCGGAACUGAAUGUGAUCGGGGGGUCACAGUCAAGAGAGUGCUUCCUUAGCGUUCUACCAAAGGGAAAUGGUGAGUUGUCACUUGAAACUAUCAUCUUCAUUCUCAAUUUAUUUAUUUUAGCAAAGGAAAAAUAUUCUAGGUUCUGCUCUUCAUUUAGAAUAUUCACAACUAAAUGAUUUCCUUUCUUGUAUAUUUGACAUUUCAGCCACUAUCAUGGAAGUAAAAGAGAUGGCCAUUUAAUUAGGCUAGGCUCACAAGUAGCUGAAUUUUUUUUGUGUGAAGAUGCAUCAGUGAUUUUUUAGCAGUUUAUAAUGGUACUAGCCCCCUGUGCUUGUGGGUGCAGUACCCUAAUUGCAGAAAAAUACUAGGUGCAAGUGUGGUGCUGGUUCUCUCCUUUGGCUCUUUGGUAUUGGUUCUCUCCUUUGGCUCCUUGUAAUAUGUGUUGGAUAUGUGUUCAUGGAUAUGUGUUGGAUAUAUAUGUG